GACGAACGCUGGCGGCGUGCCUAAUACAUGCAAGUUGAGCGCUGAAGGUUGGUACUUGUACCAACUGGAUGAGCAGCGAACGGGUGAGUAACGCGUGGGGAAUCUGCCUUUGAGCGGGGGACAACAUUUGGAAACGAAUGCUAAUACCGCAUAAAAACUUUAAACACAAGUUUUAAGUUUGAAAGAUGCAAUUGCAUCACUCAAAGAUGAUCCCGCGUUGUAUUAGCUAGUUGGUGAGGUAAAGGCUCACCAAGGCGAUGAUACAUAGCCGACCUGAGAGGGUGAUCGGCCACGUUGGGACUGAGACACGGCCCAAACUCCUACGGGAGGCAGCAGUAGGGAAUCUUCGGCAAUGGACGAAAGUCUGACCGAGCAACGCCGCGUGAGUGAAGAAGGUUUUCGGAUCGUAAAACUCUGUUGGUAGAGAAGAACGUUGGUGAGAGUGGAAAGCUCAUCAAGUGACGGUAACUACCCAGAAAGGGACGGCUAACUACGUG
rnacentral:rRNA from 1 species